UCCGUAGGUGAACCUGCGGAGGGAUCAUUACACAACAAAAUAUGAAGGCCUGGCUUCGCGGCCGGCUGAAAUAUUUUUUUUCACCCGUGUCUUUUGCGCACUUGUUGUUUCCUGGGCGGGCUCGCCCGCCACCAGGACCAAACCAUAAACCUUUUUCUUUUGCAGUUUUCAUCAGCGUCAGUAAAAAACAAUGUAAUUAUUACAACUUUCAACAACGGAUCUCUUGGUUCUGGCAUCGAUGAAGAACGCAGCGAAAUGCGAUACGUAGUGUGAAUUGCAGAAUUCAGUGAAUCAUCGAAUCUUUGAACGCACAUUGCGCCCUUUGGUAUUCCAAAGGGCAUGCCUGUUCGAGCGUCAUUUGUACCUUCAAGCUUUGCUUGGUGUUGGGCGUUUUUUGUCUCUCCUUGCGGGAGACUCGCCUUAAAACGAUUGGCAGCCGGCCUACUGGUUUCGGAGCGCAGCACAUUUUUUGCGCUUUGUAUCAGGAGAAAAGGACGGUACUCCAUCAAGACGUUUACAUUUUUAACUUUUGACCUCGGAUCAGGUAGGGAUACCCGCUGAACUUAAGCAUAUCAAUAAGCGGAGGA
rnacentral:rRNA from 1 species